rnacentral:rRNA from 1 species
CACGUAGGGGACGAGCGUUGUCCGGAUUCAUUGGGCGUAAAGCGCGCGUAGGCGGCUCGGAAAGUCGGUCGUGAAAUGCCGGGGCUCAACCCCGGGACUGCGUCCGAUACUCCCGAGCUGGAGGCAGGUAGGGGAGAUCGGAAUUCCUGGUGUAGCGGUGAAAUGCGCAGAUAUCAGGAGGAACACCGGUGGCGAAGGCGGAUCUCUGGGCCGAUACUGACGCUGAGGAGCGAAAGCGUGGGGAGCGAACAGG